UACGUAGGCAGCGAGCGUUGUUCGGAAUUACUGGGCGUAAAGAGUGUGUAGGCGGUGCUCUAAGUUCGGUGUGAAAUCUCCUGGCUCAACUGGGAGGGUGCGCCGAAUACUGAAUGACUAGAGUGCGGGAGAGGAUAGUGGAAUUCCUGGUGUAGCGGUGAAAUGCGUAGAUAUCAGGAGGAACACCGGUGGUGUAGACGGCUAUCUGGACCGUAACUGACGCUGAGGCACGAAAGCGUGGGUAGCAAACAGG
rnacentral:rRNA from 1 species